rnacentral:lncRNA from 1 species
GAAACUAGGGUUACAGGAAUACAGAUUCUAGGUUACGAUUCGAAACCAAAUUUGUUAGGAGGAUCCAGCUUGCACAUGUUUGACGCAUACAGUUGCUUUUAGUGGCUGCCAGAAGAUGGCGAUCACAAACCUUUCCCCCGCUAAGAACAUGUUGGUUGGCCAUUAGACCUUUGAUGCCUUUUCGACAGUGUUCUGCAGUUACGAUCAUUGUCCCAUGUAGCACCAUAACCUCGCAAUUGAGACCCGAGUGGCGGAGUUUUUACAGACAGGGUUCAUAAACUAGAGAAUAUGGAUAGGGUUUACUAAAAGCUUUACUAUCACUGCCACCAGCUCUAAUAGACUAAUACUAUUACCAAUCAUCGUUGGUGGAUCCAAAUAAUA